rnacentral:rRNA from 1 species
UGAGCAAUCUGCCCUUCUCAUCGGAAUAAGCGUUGGAAACGACGUCUAAUGCCGAAUACGACCUCCUUUCGCAUGAUCGGGGGUGGAAAGCUCCGGCGGAGAAGGAUGAGCUCGCGGCCUAUCAGCUAGUUGGUGUGGGUAAUGGCCCACCAAGGCGACGACGGGUAGCCGGCCUGAGAGGGUGACCGGCCACACGUGGGACCCGAGACACGGCCCAGACCUCCGUACGGGAGCAGCAGG